GGUGAGGAGCGGCGGACGGGUUAGUAACGCGUGGGAACAUACCCUUCUCUACGGAAUAGCCACUGGAAACGGUGAGUAAUACCGUAUACGCCCUUCGGGGGAAAGAUUUAUCGGAGAUGGAUUGGCCCGCGUUAGAUUAGAUAGUUGGUGGGGUAAUGGCCUACCAAGUCUACGAUCUAUAGCUGGUUUGAGAGGAUGAUCAGCAACACUGGGACUGAGACACGGCCCAGACUCCUACGGGAGGCAGCAGUGGGGAAUCUUAGACAAUGGGCGCAAGCCUGAUCUAGCGAUGCCGCGUGAGUGAUGAAGGCCUUAGGGUCGUAAAGCUCUUUCGCCAGGGAUGAUAAUGACAGUACCUGGUAAAGAAACCCCGGCUAACUCCGUGCCAGCAGCCGCGGUAAUACGGAGGGGGUUAGCGUUGUUCGGAAUUACUGGGCGUAAAGCGUACGUAGGCGGAUCAGAAAGUUAGGGGUGAAAUCCCAGGGCUCAACCCUGGAACUGCCUCUAAAACUCCUGGUCUUGAGUUCGAGAGAGGUGAGUGGAAUUCCAAGUGUAGAGGUGAAAUUCGUAGAUAUUUGGAGGAACACCAGUGGCGAAGGCGGCUCACUGGCUCGAUACUGACGCUGAGGUACGAAAGUGUGGGGAGCAAACAGGAUUAGAUACCCUGGUAGUCCACACCGUAAACGAUGAAUGCCAGACG
rnacentral:rRNA from 1 species